CAGGCCGCCGCCAUAGCCGCUCCCCGGGCAACGAAGGAGGAGAAACCGUCGAAUUUUCUCUCUUUUUUUACCCCUGUCUAAAAAGGGAGAUUCAGAAAAAGAAAAAAAAAAGAAAAAGAUAGAUUGAUAGAGAGAAAGAACGAGGGUUGUCGUUUUAAGUAGUGCGUGUCAAAAAAGAAAAGAAAAAAAACAAGAAGGAAAAGAAAAAAGAAUGAAAUUAUAAUGUGAUAUUCUGAACAAAGACGAAGUGGUGCAAGCUUACGUGUCGACUACUAGGUGCAGUGUCGAAAGGAAGAGUUAACGGCGCGCGCGAGAUGGUGCGCGAUAAACUAAUACACAUACGUACUCACAUAUGUCGUUUAAAUGCGACCAACCAAGAAGAACUUGUUAGAUACAUAAACGUAUAGGAACGAACGUACGAACGAACGUACGAACGAACGUACGAAC